UAAAAAAAGAAACAGGUGAAGCCUAAGACACAAUACGUUGAAUAGUGUUUGUCUGCAGUUGCUCCCAUUAUCAACUUCCUGACUUUAUUCUCAUGUAUCAUCUUCACAAUCCCCUUCUCUAUGGAGUCCAUCUCAACGCACAGCUUCUCUGCAUGGACCUGCAAAAACAAAUCUCCUUAGAAAUGACACAUACUUCAUAUCUCAUGAGUAACAAAGUUGAGAACCGGCUAAUAUUCAAGGUAAUUUCGGAUUCCAUUCGGUUUACUGAGGCAAAUUCUGAGGUACUCAUCAACACAUACCCCUUUCUUCAGGCAAAUUCUAAGCAUCAAAUCUGGUACCCACUGUGGAAUAAGUAAAAAAAGAAAGAUCAAACCCAUUGACUCUUUUGGAUUUGUAUUGAGAGGAGAAAGAAAACUUACAAACAGGAAUCAUAUGAGGAGGUUGGUGAACAAGAACGAUGCAGAUCUUGUUCCCUUGGGAGUUAUCUAUUGCCCAUGUUAGAUUUGACUUGUUCUUGGCAGUUUCUCUCCCCACGGCAACGUAUAUUACCUCCUCCAUCACUGCUGCUGCUGCUUCUUCUUUCUCCAUGUUCUUCUCUUUUGGGAAAAGUGGUUGGAAGAAUGGCUGGUUCGUUUGAGACAAGAAGCUGUUGUUUUCCCGAAUGUUUUAAUAAUGUGGAAUCAAGAAAGAAGAUUUGAUGAACGCAUGUGUCAUCCCUCUCUGGUGUAACUCUGUUCUUUCGAAUAUUCCAUCUGGAGUUUGUAUUA